GUAGGGAAUCUUGCGCAAUGGGCGAAAGCCUGAUGCAGCCAUGCCGCGUGAAUGAUGAAGGUCUUAGGAUUGUAAAAUUCUUUCACCGGGGACGAUAAUGACGGUACCCGGAGAAGAAGCCCCGGCUAACUUCGUGCCAGCAGCCGCGGUAAUACGAAGGGGGCUAGCGUUGCUCGGAAUUACUGGGCGUAAAGGGAGCGUAGGCGGAUAGUUUAGUCAGAGGUGAAAGCCCAGGGCUCAACCUUGGAAUUGUCUUUGAUACUGGCUAUCUUGAGUAUGGAAGGGGUAUGUGGAACUCCGAGUGUAGAGGUGAAAUUCGUAGAUAUUCGGAAGAACACCAGUGGCGAAGGCGACAUACUGGUCCAUUACUGACGCUGAGGCUCGAAAGCGUGGGGAGCAAACAGGAUUAGAAACCCCUGUAGUCC
rnacentral:rRNA from 1 species